rnacentral:pre_miRNA from 1 species
AAGAAGACAAACACUGGUUUCUGUGUCCAACAUUUGACCGUCCGUCUUAUUUGAAAAAAUUAUGAAAAAAAUUAAAAAGACAAGUCACGCAUAAAAUAUUAAUCAUGUUUUAUCAUCUAACAACAAUAAAAAUACAAAUUAUAAAAAAAAUUCAUAUAAGACGGACAGUCAAAGUUGGACACGAAAAUCCAGGGUUUGACUUUUU